AUUGAACGCUGGCGGCAGGCCUAACACAUGCAAGUCGAGCGAGCGGCGGACGGGUGAGUAAUGUAUGGGGAUCUGCAUGAUGGCGGGGGAUAACUCCUGGAAACGGUAGCUAAUACCGCAUACCCUCAGAUGAUCCCAUAUGGGGUUAGCGUGUUUGGGGGGUAACGGCGCACCUAGGCGACGAUCUCUAGCUGGUCUGAGAGGAUGAUCAGCCACACUGGGACUGAGACACGGCCCAGACUCCUACGGGAGGCAGCAGUGGGGAAUAUUGCACAAUGGGCGCAAGCCUGAUGCAGCCAUGCCACGUGUAUGAAGAAGGCCUUAGGGUUGUAAAGUAAUUUCAGCGGGGAGGCGUUACCCGCAGAAGAAGCACCGGCUAACUCCGUGCCAGCAGCCGCGGUAAUUC
rnacentral:rRNA from 1 species